CUUUAGUUUGAAACCCCGAAACCAGGUGAGCUACCCCGAGACAGCCUAUAUAAAUUAGGGCUAACCCGUCUCUGUGGCAAAAGAGUGGGAAGAGCUCCGGGUAGAAGUGACAGACCUACCGAACCUGGUGAUAGCUGGUUGCCUGAGAAGUGGAUAGAAGUUCAGCCCCGUAUACCCCAAACCAAGACCCAUCCUUUAAGGUAACUUGAGGGAAACGUACGAGAGUUAGUUGGAGGGGGUACAGCCCCUCUAACAAAGGACACAACCUUAACAGGAGAAUAAAGAUCAAAAUAACUAAAACAAACUAUUUUAGUGGGCCUAAAAGCAGCCAUCUGAACAGAAAGCGUUAAAGCUCAAACAGAGUGAAGUUUAUUAUACCGAUAAAAAAUCUUAUUUCCCUAAAUGUAUCAGGCUAUUCCAUGCCCACAUGGAAGAAAUUAUGCUAGAAUGAGUAACAAGAAGACCUGUUCUUCUCCAAGCACAAGUGUAAACCAGAUCGGACAAGCCGCUGGAAAAUAACGAACCCAACCCAAGAGAGUAUUGUGAAUAUUACAAAAACCAAGAAAAACCCACAACCAAUCAAUCGUUAACCCUACACUGGAGUGCUAUUUAUAAAGGAAAGACUAAAAGAAAGGGAAGGAACUCGGCAAACGCAAGCCUCGCCUGUUUACCAAAAACAUCGCCUCCUGCAACUAAAUUAAGUAUAGGAGGUCCAGCCUGCCCAGUGACUACGGGUUCAACGGCCGCGGUAUUUUGACCGUGCAAAGGUAGCGCAAUCACUUGUCUUUUAAAUAGAGACCUGUAUGAAUGGCUAAACGAGGGCUUAACUGUCUCCCCCUUCCAGUCAGUGAAAUUGAUCUAUCCGUGCAGAAGCGGGUAUAAUAAUACAAGACGAGAAGACCCUUUGGAGCUUAAGGUACAAAACUUAUUCACGUCAAACAACUUCAUAAAGAGCAAAAACCUAGUGGAACAUAAGAUUUUACCUUCGGUUGGGGCGACCGCGGAGGAAAAACCAGCCUCCGAGUGGAACGGGGUAAACCCCUAAAACCAAGAGAGACAUCUCUAAGCCACAGAACAUCUGACCAAUAAUGAUCCGACUUGCAAGUCGAUCAACGAACCAAGUUACCCUAGGGAUAACAGCGCAAUCCUCUCCCAGAGUCCAUAUCGACGAGGGGGUUUACGACCUCGAUGUUGGAUCAGGACAUCCUAAUGGUGCAGCCG
rnacentral:rRNA from 1 species